rnacentral:rRNA from 1 species
UACGUAGGGGGCAAGCGUUGUCCGGAUUUAUUGGGCGUAAAGAGCGUGUAGGCGGCUUGGCAAGUCCGCUGUGAAACUCGAGGCUCAACCUCGAGACGUCGGAUGGAAACUGCCUCGCUAGAGUCCGGAAGAGGAGAGUGGAAUUCCUGGUGUAGCGGUGAAAUGCGUAGAGAGUCGGAGGAACACCAGUGGCGAAGGCGGCUCGCUGGGCCGGACCUGACGCUGAGGCGCGAAGGCGUGGGGAGCGAACGGG